rnacentral:lncRNA from 1 species
UCCAGCAUAAAAAUAAACAUAAUAUCACUGUGACAGGGACUGAUUCAGUAUGGAAACAUUGACUGUAGAAGCAUUCUGGUUUACUUCAAAAGACUUUCAAUAACUGCCAAAAGAGUUUAUUUGGAUAGUUUCAGUUUCAUGUGUUUAAUCAACGAAAAACUCAAUCCAGAGUUGAAAGUUUGGCACAGCAAGUGUUCGGAAAAGGGGUGCAUGUGUUCUUAUUUUGGGGAGCGGGCCCACACUUAUAAUCUUCAAAGCUGGCAUCAUCUCAAGCCUACAUUUCCGUGAUUUCUACAACAUUUCACCAUGUUCUACAUCUUACAAUAGUAAAUGUUGCAAAGAAAUUCUGUAACUACAGAUAAGACUACAGGCUAGAAAAGUACAAGUGAUUUCCCUCUGGUUAACAGCUGAAUGCUUGAUGUCACAGGCCUUUAUUCUAAGGACUCAUGUUCGCUCCGUUGGUUUCAAUGCACAGUAUGUGUGAGUGAAUCUAUAUUUGGCCAUUUAGUUAUAC